AUUUUUUUGUCCUAUGGAUUUCAAAAAAUCACCAUUACUACACCAACCAUCACAAUUUCAACAACCCCCCACACCCCAACAUGGCAAUGGAAUAAUGGCAACAACCCCAAUCCAAUCCCCAUCACCCCAACAAUAUCAUCCACAACAACAACCCCCAACUCAAACUCAAACUCACCAACUAGAACAACUGAUAAUGACAUGGUAUGAGAAAAAGUCAUUUUUCACUGACCCCCAAAAAUGAACCUUCAACAAUUUCCUUCUAACUCAGAUUACAACAAAAUUCAAGUUCAAAUCUUCAUCCUUUUGCUACUCAAUCAACGAAGAGAGGCAGGCCGAGGAAGUCUUCUCUAGGUCAAAUUCCUUCUGUGGUGAAUCAUGUUAAUUCUAGUUGUGCUACUACCUCCAAAAGCCCUGCGAAGAAGGCUCGAGGGAGGCCUGUGGGCUCUAGAAAGAAGCAAAAGCAAGUUUUAGAUAUAGUUGGAUUUGGAUCAAUGGACCCCAUAGUCACUAUGGACAUCGAAAGGUUUUCUUGUGAAAAUAAGCACAGUUGUGGAUGUAGUGAGCCAUCUUCUCAACUUUCCAGAAGCCAUUGAGAGGAUGGGAAUUCUAUCGCGGUCAAACGAGAGCAGUGAGAAUAAGGGUAACAUUCCAGUGGACAUUCUUGAUACCCCAAAAGAGUACAUUUUCCACAUGGAUGUUCCUGGUUUAUCCAAAUAAACAUUCUGAAUGAGUUUGAAAGAAAGAAACAAGAAAUAUUAAUUGCUCAAAGUGCAUCAAUUGUGGAAGGAGGAUGAGAAAAGAAUUGGACUUGUUGAUGAAGCAUGUAUACAAGAAAUCAUCUUCAAAUGAUGAAUGCCCAUCUUAAGAAGACAUCUAAGCUUAUGAGAAUGAAAGUGGUUCUGACCCUGAUGGUUGAUAGUUUUAUUGAGGAUUCAAAUUUGAAAUAUUUUGUUUUGGACCAUUUAAGAAUCAUAAAUUAUUGAUGUGGAUGUUACGAAUUAUGUUUUUUUGUUAGCUGUAAUGGUUUACAUUAGACUUGUAUUGAAUGAUUUUUCUUAGAAUUAUUGGAGGUUUUGAAUA